CCUACGGGAGGCAGCAGUGGGGAAUCUUGCGCAAUGGGCGAAAGCCUGACGCAGCAACGCCGCGUGCGGGAAGAAGGCCUUCGGGUUGUAAACCGCUUUCAGCAGGAACGAAAAUGACGGUACCUGCAGAAGAAGGAGCGGCCAACUACGUGCCAGCAGCCGCGGUGACACGUAGGCUCCAAGCGUUGUCCGGAUUUAUUGGGCGUAAAGAGCUCGUAGGCGGUUCAGUAAGUCGGGUGUGAAAACUCUGGGCUCAACCCAGAGCCUGCAUUCGAAACUGCUGUGACUAGAGUUUGGUAGGGGAGCGGGGAAUUCCUAGUGUAGCGGUGAAAUGCGCAGAUAUUAGGAGGAACACCGGUGGCGAAAGCGCCGCUCUGGGCCAAUACUGACGCUGAGGAGCGAAAGCGUGGGUAGCAAACAGGAUUAGAUACCCUGGUAGUCCACGCCGUAAACGAUGGGCACUAGGUGUGGGUUUCAACUAACGAAAUCCGUGCCGUCGCUAACGCAUUAAGUGCCCGCCUGGGGAGUACGGUCGCAAGACUAAAACUCAAAGGAAUUGACGG
rnacentral:rRNA from 1 species